AGCAGCCGCGGUAAUUCCAGCUCCAAUAGCGUAUAUUAAAGUUGUUGCAGUUAAAAAGCUCGUAGUUGAAUUUCGGAAUCUGUCCGUUGGUCGGGCUUCGCGGUCCGUACUGGCGUGGUGGGUUCUUACCUUCUGAAUAACCAGCAUGCCAUUAAUUUAGUGCGUUGGGGAAGCAGGACUAUUACCUUGAAAAAAUUAGAGUGCUCAAAGCAGGCUAGUGCCUGAAUACAUUAGCAUGGAAUAAUAGAAUAGGACGGCAUGGUUCUAUUUUGUUGGUUUCUAGGAUCACCGUAAUGAUUAAUAGGGAUAGUUGGGGGCAUUAGUAUUCAAUUGUCAGAGGUGAAAUUCUUGGAUUUAUUGAAGACUAACUUCUGCGAAAGCAUUUGCCAAGGAUGUUUUCACUAAUCAAGAACGAAAGUUAGGGGAUCGAAGACGAUCAGAUACCGUCGUAGUCUUAACCAUAAACUAUGCCGACUAGGGAUCGGACGAUGUUAAUUUUUAAUGACUCGUUCGGCGCCUU
rnacentral:rRNA from 1 species